AAUGAAUGUUGUGUCUUUAACAGUUUAGUAUUAAGGGUGGGGUACAUCACACAGCAGCCACACAAACUUGAUUACCCAGUCUGGUGGGGCCGAAGGCUGCUCCCCCCAGAUGAAAGCGAGAGGCCUACCAGGGAGCUACAUGGAGAUAGAGCAAUCUGGAGAGAGAAGGGAAGAAUCUGAGGUAGACCAUGUGAAGGUUCCUUUGAAGACCCUGACCUGGAGUUACACACUGACUUUGGUUCUUUAUGGGAAUGGGACACUCCCUCGAGGUCUCAUGACUGGUUGUUAUUCAAUAUACCAAGGACAUGGCCUGGAAGAUUAGCACGCCUUCGGAAUUUCGAGAUUUCGUGGCUCUGGGGGCGGGUGGACUCGAGGUCGGUGCCUCUGCAGGAAAUCAGUGUGUUGUGGGAGGACACAAAAGAUUGAAAGCAGCAAGCUGGCUGCUGGCUGUGUGUCCAGAGACCCGAGUUCUUUGGACACAGAGCUUGGAAAAAGUGACUCAACAGACUUUUAACAUCGUAAAUCAGUGAGUUGUUUGUUAUGUCUCCUCUCUCGCUGUGAAAUGGAGAUACCUCUUUUUCCUUUAUUAGGGAGAGAGAGAGAGAGAGAGUCUGUGGUAUGUUGAUUAUCGGGUGAACGAGUA